UACGUAGGUGGCAAGCGUUGUCCGGAAUUAUUGGGCGUAAAGCGCGCGUAGGCGGUUUCUUAAGUCUGAUGUGAAAGCCCACGGCUCAACCGUGGAGGGUCAUUGGAAACUGGGGAACUUGAGUGCAGAAGAGGAAAGUGGAAUUCCAAGUGUAGCGGUGAAAUGCGUAGAGAUUUGGAGGAACACCAGUGGCGAAGGCGACUUUCUGGUCUGUAACUGACACUGAGGCGCGAAAGCGUGGGGAGCGAACAGG
rnacentral:rRNA from 1 species